ensembl:lncRNA
AUUUUUUUAGAUUAAUUUUUCUAUUGUGAUGUUUAUAUUUAUUGGCAAUUUGUGUGCAACUUUUAUAUUUUGCUUAGAUGUUUUAAGGUAUUUUAUUUUUAUAGAUAUUUCUAGCUUUUCCUCUUUCUUUGUAAUAUUAGCAAAAAUUAAGAUGGUAUGUUAAUAUACCAAACAAGCUAUUAAUUCCAUAAAAUACUAGAGUAUGGAUUUUUACCAAUAAACUAUUAAUACUAUUUUCUACCUUAGAAUAUUUAAUAUUGUUUAUAUAGUGGGCAUUAAAGACAGUCUGCAGACAGAUUUCUAUAUACAGAGGGGAGGUGGGGCUUUUCUAUAAGUUGAAUCUUUUAUUCCUUCAGUACCAAACUAACACUAAUACGUUGGAUUUAUUUUACCUGAUUGGAGUUUUGGGGGAAAUUGUUAAAUAAAUAUUACAUUUCUUUUUUAACUUUACUACACUGUUCAGCAUUAGGGUUAUAACAUUUUUAUAGGCCAGGAAAAGAAAUAAAUGAUCCAGAAGUCAUUGAUAACUGACUUUGAAAUAGGAUUUCUCCCUUCAUUAUAUGAAAGAUUUGCUACCCUGAACUUUUCCUAGCAUACUUUUAACGAUUCAAACUCUUGAGUAGAGUAUUUUAGCUCAUUAAACUUUUAACUGAUGGGCUGGGGAUUUAGCUCAGUGGUUCCGGCACCUGCCUCGAAAGCGCAAGGACCCAAGUUCAAUCCCCAGUACCAAAAAAAACCAAAACCUUUUAACUAGUAAUAAUUUAUGAAUGUAAGCUAAUUAGGAGACAGUGAAAAAGUAUGAUUAUAGAAUAUUAAUUUCAAGCCUAUAUAGUCACUCCAGUUUCCUAGUGAUUAUCAAGAUUAUUUGUAUUAGCACAUUAAUUUUUUUGGUAAAAGUGCAUGAAAAAGUAUAUUUCCUUAAGAUAAAAUAUUUUCAUUGUAUUUUUAUACUAUGAGUUUUCUCACUAUGGAAUUUUUUUUUCAGUUAGAAAUUAAAAGUUAGCUUUUGGGCUGGGGGUGUAGCUCAGUGGUAGAGGACUUGUCUAGCAUGUACAAGACCCUGAGUUCAGUCCUUACCACCACACAUACACACACACACACACGCGCACACACACACACAGGUAAUUACCUCAUUCUCUUGAGUUUCUAAAUUCCAAAUUAUUGAGGUUAAAUAUGUAGCAUUUUACUGUACUUAAUUCUGUUCUUCCACUGAGAAGGGGGAAAUGAGAAAGUUUCAAAUAAUUUUAAAUGGGAAACUUUUUUUUUUUUUUUUUGGUACCAGGGAUCAAACUCGGGUCCUUGCACUUGCGAGGCAGGUAGCGACACCACUGAGCUAAAUUCCCGGCCCAAGUGGGAAACUUACUUUUCUAUUAUAUAAAAUUUUACAGUUUAAAAUGAAUCAGCAUGACUGUAUAGACAUUAGCCAUAUCAUUUCUCUUUGCAUAUUUUUCAGUUACAUAAUUUGCUUUAUAAUAUACUGUUCUGAGUUAACUUUCUUUACCUCUACAUCAAGUAUUUAUGAAGGUUGAUUCUCUGGUUAUAGGAAUUUACUACUACUAAGUAAAACCUAGAUAGUUUCAACAGAUAUUUUUGCUACAAGUGUAUGUCCCCUUUUAAAAGGAUACUUAUUGUGCUAUAACUUUGUUCUAUUCAUUAUUCAUUUCAACAUUGCCUAGGUUAACUGCGUAUAAUUCUUGUAGACCAGCUUUUUAUUGCAGUGCUGGGGAUUGAACCCAUGCUAGAUAAGUACUCUAAGCUAUAUCCCCAGACUUUUUUUACUUUAUUUUGAGACAUUGUCUCACUAAAUUGCCCAGGCUGGCCUCCAAACUUGUGAUUCUUCUGCCACCUGAGUAACUGGAUUACAGGCAUACACCACCACACGUGGCAAAACCACUAUUUUUAAUCCUGCCUAGGGACCUGUGAUUUCUUUGUUCCUUCUGAAAGCUCAUGAGAACCUACCACAUAGAGUUUUAACUGAUUGGCUCCACAAAUCCAGAUACCUGGCAUCAGUAAUACAUUAACAUAGUGAAGUAUUGGGUAGCUUGUUUAUAUUUAUAGUCCACCUCUUCAAAAAGAAAUAAUUGUGCAGUAAGUUAUAGGUUAUUCCAAAAAGAGAACUCAUCAUGAACAGACCUAUGAUUAGAAAACAGGUGGAAAAGUUGAUCAUCAGAACUUUGCAUUUAGCCGAGGAUUUAGGUCAGUGGUUCCCGUGCCUGCCUCGCAAGCAAAAAUAAAUAAAGGAAUAGGCUAGUAGGAUUAUGAGAGUAUAUAGUGAGAAGGAAAUGGGAUUAAGGUUUCUUUGCUAUGAUCCUUGGACAGAAACCUUACAGUUGUUUAUUACUUCCCCAUUUCUCACAACCACAUAGUAGCUAUUGUUGCUAUGUGAACCUAUUGAAGAGACCCAAGCAGAGUGCCUCUGUAAUCUAUACCUGUGUUAAUGGUUGUCCUAGAUCCAGAGCUGUUUUCUAUUCUCAGCAAAUUAAAGAAGUCUUACAAGUUGCUUCUGAAUUAUAAUUUUUAAAAUUAAUGGGGCAUAGUGGUACAGAUCUGUAAUCCCAGUUACUCAGGAGGGUGAGGCAGAAGGAUCCUAAAUUCAAGGCUACCCUGAGCAACCUAGUGAGAUGCUAUCAGAAUAAAACAAAAAAGGGCUGGAUGUGGCUGAGUGGUAGAGAACUUGCCUAGCCUGCUUGAGACCCUGGGUUCAUCCCCAAUACCACCAAAAAAAAAGUCAAUGAAUUAUUUAUCCUUAAAUAGAACCAUGACAUUGCUAUUAACAGCUUUUCCAGUUUUCUCCUUUCUUAGAAAACAAACUAAGCCUUUUCAGAUGAGCCAGUCUACUAGAAACAAAACAUUUUUGGUGAAGGAUUUGAGGAAACACUGGUAGAUUAUAAUGAAGAAGGAAUUUUGGCAUAGACAGUUCCACCUGGUUAAUGGAUACAACUUGGUCCCAGGGAACUAACAAGAGGAAACUUUAGUUUUAGUAGCAACAGAGCUGAUCUCUGAUAGUAAUUAAUUGCAGUUAUCUCCCUGUUUCACAGACAGGUAAUGAUCUCAUAUUAAUGGUGACCUUGCAGAUGUGCAUGUGUCCUUUUCAAAUUCAAAAGCCAAGAACUUGGGACAGAGGGAUAACUCAGUGGUAGAGCAUAUGCUUACCACACAGAAGGCCCUAAGUUUGAUCCCCAGCACCCCAAAUAGAAAACAAAACAAAAAAACAGGAACAUCAAGCACUGAGAUCUAAUAGUUUCUUCCUAUACAGAAGUCUCAAUAUUCCAGGUGCUUUCUUACUUCUUAGCCCACCCUUUCCCUCCUUAAGAAAGAGGUGGGGGCGGAAUUUAGCUCAGUGCUUCCACUGCCUGCCUCAAAAGUGCAAGGUCCCAAGUUCGAUCCCUGGUACCAAAAGAAAGAAAGAAAAAAAACAAGAGGGAAGGAUUUAGAGGCAGCUUUAUAGCAUUCAACUGUAGGUAAAUAACAGUCUAAAAUAUUUGGGCAAGAAGGAUCGAUCAUAUGCCAAAAGUUAGCAAUUGAGACUAUUUUAGCACAUUUUUGACAUUUGUGUUCUAAAAUUUGUUUCCUUUGACAUACUAUUUUUUAAUUAAGUGCCACCAUGCUUUUGUGAUAGUAUUUUAUACCAUUUAUGAAUCAAAGUCCUUCAUUUCUCUCAUAUAGACAAAUGCAGUUAAAAAUAAAAGGGCCAGCCAGGGAUUUAGCUCAGUAGUUCCGCCGCUUGCCUCGUAAGCACAAGGACCCGAGUUUGAUCCCCGGUACCCAAAAAAAUAAAAAUAAAAAUAAAAGGGCCAAAACCAAGAGACAGAAUGAGAAUCAUCAGCAUGUAACUUUAAUGCAGAUGAAGUCUUAAUUCAUUUAAGUGAAAAUUCAGAUUGAAAGUGUUAAUGCUGCAGAUAUUAUCUCUAGCCAUAGAAUGUUUUGCUAGCUAUAGAGUGAUCAUUUGAAUGAAAUAUAUAUCCAGGUUGUAAUGUAUUAUAGCAAAGUGAUGUCAUUGUUCUUGGAGAAUUUUUUUUUUGGUGGGGGGGCACAUGAGGGAAUCAAAUCCAUGGUCUCACAUAUGCUAGGCUGUGCUAAGCAAGUGCUGUUCCAUUGAGCUACAAAAUUUUUUGUUCAUCUGUUUUGUUUUUUUGAAAUAGGUUCUCUAUGUAAUCUAGGCUAGCCAUGAACUCUGUGUAGCCCAGGCUGGCCUCCAACUUGUGAUUCUCUUUUUCUUUUUUUUUGGUACCAGGGAUCAAACUUACAAGGCAGGUGGCGGUGGUGAUCCUCUUGUAUGCUAGGUGCUCUUUUUUUUUUUUGGUACUGGGGAUUGAACUCGGGACCUUGAGCUUGUGAGGCAGGCAGCAGACCCACUGAGCUAAAUCCCCGGCCCAAAAGAUUGUAAGUUGGUUUUUUGAGGUUUUUUUGGUACCGGGGAUUGAACUCGGGUCCUUCUACUUUCGAGGCAGGCAGCGGAACCAGUGAGCUAAAUCCCCAGCCCCUUGAGUACUAGGAUCAUAGGGAUGUGCCACCAUGCCCAAAAUUAUUCCUGAAAGUAAUAUUUCAGCCUUCUGCAACACAGAUCCCUGUAAUCUUUUUUUUUUUUUUUUUUUAAAGACAGGGUCUCAUUCUGUAGUUCAGGCUGGCCUUGAACUUGUGGCAGUCCUCCUGCCUCAGCGUCCUGAGUGCUGGGAUUACAGGCAUGUACCACUACACCUGGCAGAUCCCUGUAUUCUUAAGUAGAUUUUAUGUACCUUAUAAUUUUAAUAAAUCCCACCCUGGUUUAUACUUUUAAAAGUUUCUUUUAUUCUGACACAUGACUUCUUACAUAUAAAAAGUAUAUUGAAUGAAUUAACACUUAGAUUAUUCUUUCCUGUUAAUUUAUAUAUGUAUUCUGACUUCAGUUUUAUAGCUAUAUCUGAUAUCUGAUUUCUUGGCGUAUACAAAAUUCUACACGAGAAACUUUUAACUCAUAUCCUAGCUUAUAUCCUUCCUGAGAUGUGAGGGAGAAGACCUACAAAGUUUUCAAAUGCAAGAACUUUUUAAAAAUGAUCACAACUGAAAAAAAGAACUACUGAGGUCUUAUGCCUUUGAGAGUAGAACGAGUUCCUGAACAUGAGCCAGAAACUUGGGAGACUGGCUCUAUCGCUGAUUUGCUCUUUGUCCUUAAGCAAUUUCCUUCAUUUCUCUGUGCCUCUCUCCCCUUAUAAGUAGAAGUGAUAAUAAUUGCCCUCGCCUACCUCGCUAGAUUAUUGUGAGAAUAAGAUGCUUGUGAAAGCACUAGAGUUCUCCAAAGGAAAAGCUAUCAGAAGUUCAGGAUAACAGUGGUAUGGCAUGAAGUGUUGCUUUCCACCUGGAGUCUAUGAAAGCGUCUUCAGUCACUGUAAAUGGUUUCAUAAAGCAAGUAUAUGUGAAUCAUUGGGCCUUAUAGUGUGAUGAUGUUCCCUUACAAAUGUGUCCUGUUCUGUGUCUUCCCUGCCAGAGAUCCAGCAUAUGGACUGAUUUUUUUUUUUUUAAUAAUCUGUAGCAAGAGGGUAACUUUUCAAGAACUAAACUCCAUAUAGUGGUGCUAUGGUAGCUGCAAUUGUAUUUUGAGUUACUGUGGUGAAAGCAUCAGAUACUAACUUGUCCUGUUGUCUUCAGGCACUGUUACUAUGUGUUGGCCUCAGAGGCUGUUAUACAACCAGACAGCUAUCCCUUUGUUUCUUGGCAGAUCUUUGGUACCUAGUUCUUUGAAGUAGAGUUGAUUUUAAGAAAGAAAGUGUGUUUAUUUCAUUAAUCAAUUUGCAGAAUUGGACUUAGCUUUACUUUUAAAAUUCUAAUCAUCAUAUAUCUGUAAAGUUAAAAUAUAGGAAAAGUUUUUCUUUCUGUUAAUUUCUGAGUACCUGCAGGUGGUAUAAGAGGUCUGACCCACUAAUCUUUUGGUCAGGGCCUUACAUUUCAACAGAUUUAUGUACUUGCUGUGGGGAGAGGGGGCUCUGUUUCUAGAAGAUUACAAAGGCCACAUUGCCACAGAUAUAAGUACUUCCUUUUUGCAACAGUUUGUGUUUUUUGUUUGCUUUAAAGAAAAAAGGAUGCUACAGGUGUAGCUCAAUGGUAGAGAACUUCACUACUAUGUACAAGGCCCAGGGUUCAAUCCCCAGCACUGAAAAAAAUUAAGCCAUCUCCUAAGAAAAAUGAUGUAAUUUAGGUACACAGGGUAUGGAUGCAUUCAGCAUUAUUCUUAUCUCUGUAGAUGCUGACCUUCCUUAUUGCAGGCAGUUGGGCUUUCCCAACUCAUUGCUAACAAAGGUGGUAUAUUGUGAUUAUUUUUAUAGACAAUAAGAGUGUCAAGUACUGAUGAAAAGUUAGAGAUUCAUGCUUAAAAAAUGAACAAAAACUCCAUCUUGUGCAGUGAGGUAGCUAACACUGAUAUAUCAGGAAUACAGUUUAAACACUUUUUGCUGUAGUGUGUAGCUUUAAUGUCUCUCCAGUUAUGGACCCAUAAAAGUAUUAUAUGUUGUAAAUAAAGAUCAUUUGUGUAGACUAGUAUGUAUAUGGAUGCAUUCAUAGACUGGGAAGCAGUGGUGUAUGUGUAUAUAUAAAUAUAACACUGUAUUAAGUUUAUAUAGAAAAAAUAAUGUGUUGUUUCUUUAGUGUUUGGGAGACUGAAAUUGCAGUGUGACUAUUCCAUUGUAAUCUGAUCACUCACUCUAGAAAACAUUAUUACAUAGUCCACACACAGAUGCACACCCCAAAGCAUUACCAGCUUCUUCCACUUUAGAUAACUGCUUCUUUUUUAAAAACCCUAAGGAAUGGAAGAAGAAAUAACAUAUUCUUUUUAAAGGGGCUUUUCUGAAGAGUAAAAUAUAAAUACAGGAGAUGUGGGGAGGGUACAGCCACCUGCAAAAUGUCCAACAGAUGGACAAAUAGCCUUUUAAAUUUUACCUUUUAAUCAUCUUGACCGUGUGUGCCUAUUUAUAUUACAGAUGUGAACUAUUUUUGGGGGUAAUAACAGUAUGUUUUGAAACCAAAUUAUUACAUAAAAUCAGAGUAACCUCUUUCUCCACUCUCUUUUUCCACAUUAACUGUUCUUGCUAAAUAUUUCUACUGAUACCAAGGCAAAAUGUUGGGACUGUCAAACUUUUUCCCCAUCUUCCCUACCUGUCAUAGCUCUGUUUUGUGCCUGGCCUAGCCUUAUAUCUUUUUGUUGGCUUUUCAUAAGUAAGAACAAUUUACUACAGUAGAAUUUCAGAAUGUUUAUCUGUAAGUCUCAUCAGUUAAGACAAAGGAGUCAGUCUGUAAUAUCCUACAGGACCAGAUAAGAUACGGAAUGACACGAAACUUGUCACAUUUUAUUAAGAGAAAUUGGAACUCUGGUGGGAAGUGGAUGGGAGAGCAAGUCUAUGAUGUAUAUGUAAUCGUAUCACAAGAAGCACCAAAUACUGAAUUCUAUCACUGUGUACUUGGGGCCUAGGCUUUGAAUUUUGUUUUUUAAUUUCUUAAAAAUUAUAUGUAAUCAUGAUAAGCAGAAAGCAAAUAAAGUUUUUGAACAAAAUGCUUAUUUUCAGUAAAAUUUGUUAGUAAAUUUUCUACCUUGAGUUUAAACUAUCUUUCCCCUCAAAAAAAUUACUAUAAAAUCUUUGUGGGUGAGAUUGGGAAGCUUAAGGAAACUAGUUUUUUAAAGUUCAUCCAUGUGUAAUAUUUUAUGUUAAAUGGUCAUGAUUCUCUCUGAGCCAAACUGUCACUAAGAUGUGCUGUGAUGGAACCACUCUUUUUUCUGCCAUUCUGCAUAUUGGAAAGGUUCUAUGUUGUAUUUGUUUUUAAUCCUUGAUUCAAGAAAAGUUAAUGGUUUUAUUGUUGCUUAGCUUCAGUUUAAAGUGUAAUUUCCACUAAUAACUGCAAUAAAAUGGAAACCUUUGCUCCAAACAUUCUCUUGUGUGGU